AGAGAGAUUUAAUAAUCAAGGCACAACAGUCAUUGUCAGCUGAAAGGUCAAAAGGUCAGUUAUUAGAUGAGGUAGAACAACAUGAGAGGCAUUUAUGGACAAUAUCUCUUGUGUCCAAAAUGGCACCCCAUUUAUUCCCUAUAUAUUGCACUACUUUUAAACAGGGCCUAUAGGGUGUUGGUCAAAGGUAGUGCACUAGGUAGGGAACAGGGUGCCAUUUAUGGGUCUACCAUCCAUCAUAUCCCAUAAUGCUUCAGGAAGGUUAUGUUUUUGGACAAUAGGUAUAGUGAUAGUCUACAGUCCUCUAGUCCAGGUAUUGUGAUGCAGUCUACAGUCCUCUAGUCCAGGUAUUGUGAUACAGUCCAGGUAUUGUGAUACAGUCCACUAGUCCAGGUAUUGUGAUACAGUCUACAGUCCACUAGUCCAGGUAUUGUGAUACAGUCCAGGUAUUGUGAUACAGUCCACUAGUCCAGGUAUAGUGAUACAGUCCAGGUAUUGUGAUACAGUCCACUAGUCCAGGUAUUGUGAUACAGUCUACAGUCCACUAGUCCAGGUAUUGUGAUACAGUCCAGGUAUUGUGAUACAGUCCACUAGUCCAGGUAUAGUGAUACAGUCCAGGUAUUGUGAUACAGUCCACUAGUCCAGGUAUUGUGAUACAGUCCAGGUAUUGUGAUACAGUCUACAGUCCACUAGUCCAGGUAUUGUGAUACAGUCUACAGUCCACUAGUCCAGGUAUUGUGAUACAGUCUACAGUCCACUAGUCCAGGUAUUGUGAUACAGUCUACAGUCCACUAGUACAGGUAUUGUGAUACAGUCUACAGUCCACUAGUACAGGUAUUGUGAUACAGUCUACAGUCCAGGUAUUGUGAUACAGUCUACAGUCCACUAGUCCAGGUAUUGUGAUACAGUCUACAGUCCACUAGUCCAGGUAUUGUGAUACAGUCUACAGUCCACUAGUCCAGGUAUUGUGAUACAGUCUACAGUCCACCAGUCCAUGUAUUGUGAUACAGUCUACAGUCCUCUAGUCCAGGUAUUGUGAUACAGUCUACAGUCCACUAGUCCAGGUAUUGUGAUACAGUCUACAGUCCACUAGUCCAGGUAUUGUGAUACAGUCCACUAGUCCAGGUAUUGUGAUACAGUCUACAGUCCACUAGUACAGGUAUUGUGAUACAGUCUACAGUCCACUAGUCCAGGUAUUGUGAUACAGUCUACAGUCCACUAGUACAGGUAUUGUGAUACAGUCUACAGUCCAGGUAUUGUGAUACAGUCUACAGUCCACUAGUACAGGUAUUGUGAUACAGUCUACAGUCCACUAGUCCAGGUAUUGUGAUACAGUCUACAGUCCAGUAUUGUGAUACAGUCUACAGUCCAGGUAUUGUGAUACAGUCUACAGUCCACUAGUCCAGGUAUUGUGAUACAGUCUACAGUCCUCUAGUCCAGGUAUUGUGAUACAGUCUACAGUCCUCUAGUCCAGGUAUUGUGAUACAGUCUACAGUCCACUAGUCCAGGUAUUGUGAUACAGUCUACAGUCCACUAGUACAGGUAUUGUGAUACAGUCUACAGUCCAGGUAUUGUGAUACAGUCUACAGUCCACUAGUCCAGGUAUUGUGAUACAGUCUACAGUCCUCUAGUCCAGGUAUUGUGAUACAGUCUACAGUCCACUAGUACAGGUAUUGUGAUACAGUCUACAGUCCAGGUAUUGUGAUACAGUCCAGGUAUUGUGAUACAGUCUACAGUCCACUAGUCCAGGUAUUGUGAUACAGUCUACAGUCCAGGUAUUGUGAUACAGUCCAGGUAUUGUGAUACAGUCUACAGUCCACUAGUACAGGUAUUGUGAUACAGUCUACAGUCCACUAGUACAGGUAUUGUGAUACAGUCUACAGUCCACUAGUACAGGUAUUGUGAUACAGUCUACAGUCCACUAGUACAGGUAUUGUGAUACAGUCUACAGUCCACUAGUCCAGGUAUUGUGAUACAGUCUACAGUCCACUAGUCCAGGUAUUGUGAUACAGUCUACAGUCCACUAGUACAGGUAUUGUGAUACAGUCUACAGUCCAGGUAUUGUGAUACAGUCCAGGUAUUGUGAUACAGUCCACUAGUCCAGGUAUUGUGAUACAGUCUACAGUCCACUAGUCCAGGUAUUGUGAUACAGUCUACAGUCCACUAGUACAGGUAUUGUGAUACAGUCUACAGUCCAGGUAUUGUGAUACAGUCUACAGUCCACUAGUCCAGGUAUUGUGAUACAGUCUACAGUCCUCUAGUCCAGGUAUUGUGAUACAGUCUACAGUCCACUAGUACAGGUAUUGUGAUACAGUCUACAGUCCACUAGUACAGGUAUUGUGAUACAGUCUACAGUCCACUAGUCCAGGUAUUGUGAUACAGUCCACUAGUCCAGGUAUUGUGAUACAGUCUACAAUCCACUAGUACAGGUAUUGUGAUACAGUCCAGGUAUUGUGAUACAGUCUACAGUCCACUAGUACAGGUAUUGUGAUACAGUCUACAGUCCACUAGUACAGGUAUUGUGAUACAGUCCAGGUAUUGUGAUACAGUCCUCUAGUCCAGGUAUUGUGAUACAGUCUACAGUCCUCUAGUCCAGGUAUUGUGAUACAGUCUACAGUCCACUAGUCCAGGUAUUGUGAUACAGUCUACAGUCCACUAGUCCAGGUAUUGUGAUACAGUCUACAGUCCAGGUAUUGUGAUACAGUCUACAGUCCACUAGUCCAGGUAUUGUGAUACAGUCUACAGUCCACUAGUCCAGGUAUUGUGAUACAGUCUACAGUCCACUAGUCCAGGUAUUGUGAUACAGUCUACAGUCCACUAGUCCAGGUAUUGUGAUACAGUCUACAGUCCACUAGUCCAGGUAUUGUGAUACAGUCUACAGUCCACUAGUACAGGUAUUGUGAUACAGUCUACAGUCUACAGUCUGGAGAGAGGACACCCGUAGCUGUGGCUGUGAAUAUAGUGUUUGUUCUGUUCCCUCUGUUCUGUGUGUUCCUUGUUCUCUGUUCUGUGCAGUGAGCUCAGGCAGGUAGUCUGUCUAAAAGCAAGUCUUGUCAUGUUUGCAGGUGGAGGUGUGAUUCCAGGUAUCACGUUGACUGGAAGGUGUUCUUAGAGGUACUUCUAGACC